AUGGUAAGGACCCGCCGCAUCCAAGUUCUGACCCGCACACACUUCCCAGAGCGCGUGACACGUAUACGUCCACUUCUCCAGUGCUUCCGUUUCGAAGGAUUCCAGGGUGGAUCACGGCGAUGCAGUUACUCCGGUACCGACGCCAGAGGCAACGGGAGUCCUCCACAUCACUCGCUAACGCUGGGAAGCUUCAGCAUGAAGCAGCUUUAUGGUUUUCUGGAGAGUCCAGGUUGUGGACUUGAAACUCUGAGAUUGUGGCGCUGUGGUUUCUCACAGAUCGGCUGUGAUUAUUUGGCAGCAGCACUGAAGUCCAACCCCUCCCAUCUGAGAGAGCUGGACCUGAGCCACAACAACAACCUGCAGGAUUCAGGAGUGAAGCAGCUGUGUGGUUUUCUGGAGAGUCCAGGAUGUGGACUUGAAACUCUGAGAUUGAUGAGCUGUGGUUUGUCAGAGAUCAGCUGUGAUUAUCUGGCAGCAGCACUAAAGUCCAACCCCUCCAGUCUGAGAGAGCUGUACCUGUGGGAAAACAACCUACAGUAUCCAGAUGUGAAGCAGCUGUCUGAUCUUAAGAAGAGUCCAGACUGCAGACUGGAGACUCUGUGGUGGAGCCGAUGGUAAACAGGCCGGUGUGUGUGCUGAGAGAUGAUGAUAUGUGUCCUGAUGAUCCAGAGAGGUUGAAGCAGCAGCAGCUUGUGUGCAGAGACGCUCUGACUGGGCCAUGUUACCGGGAGGUGAGGUGGAGAGGAGAGCUUCAUCCAGCAGUGACUGACAGAGUAAUGAGAAGUGCAGAUAACUGUCAGUGCUGCAGAGUGAACUGCUCUGAGAACAGCUCCACUGUCAGACACAAUGUAGAGUCCAGCAUCAUCCCUGUGAGCCCCUGUGGAUUUGACAGAGGAUCAUCAUUGUAUCUGGACUGGUCUGCUGCUGCUCUGUCCUUCUACAGUCUCUGCACAGUCUCUGUCUGACACUGGCUUCAGACCCUCCUGGAUCAAACUCACCUGGAAAGGCUUUCAAACAUCUGUGAAUAACAAAAAGAAUGUUAACAUAAAUAUCAUGUUUUCAUGUUUGUGUGCAGUUUGAGCUUCAGUGGAUUAAGCAGUGCUUAAAGUUUAAUGUGGAUACUAAUGAUCAAUAAAUGUGCUGAUUGGAAUCAAA